rnacentral:rRNA from 1 species
UGNNUCAGGAUGAACGCUGACAGAAUGCUUAACACAUGCAAGUCGAUUCGAUUUACCUUCGGGUAUUGAGGAUGGCGGACGGGUGAGUAACGCGUAAGGAACUUGCCUCUUGGUCUGGGACAACUGUUGGAAACGACAGCUAAUACCGGAUAUUAUGAGAUUCUCGCAUGGGAAACUUAUGAAAGCUAUAUGCGCCAAGAGAGAGCCUUGCGUUCCAUUAGCUAGUUGGUGGGGUAACGGCCCACCAAGGCGACGAUGGAUAGCCGGCCUGAGAGGGUGAACGGCCACAAGGGGACUGAGACACGGCCCUUACUCCUACGGGAGGCAGCAGUGGGGAAUAUUGGACAAUGGGCCACAAGCCUGAUCCAGCAAUUCUGUGUGCACGAUGAAGGUCUUCGGAUUGUAAAGUGCUUUCAGUUGGGAAGAAGAAAGUGACGGUACCAACAGAAGAAGCGACGGCUAAAUACGUGCCAGCAGCCGCGGUAAUACGUAUGUCGCAAGCGUUAUCCGGAUUUAUUGGGCGUAAAGCGCGUCUAGGCGGAAAAAUAAGUCUGAUGUUAAAAUGCGGGGCUCAACUCCGUAUUGCGUUGGAAACUGUUUUUCUAGAGUACUGGAGAGGUGGGCGGAACUACNAGUGUAGAGGUGAAAUUCGUAGAUAUUUGUAGGAAUGCCGAUGGAGAAGUCAGCUCACUGGACAGAUACUGACGCUAAANCGCGAAAGC